rnacentral:lncRNA from 1 species
GGGCUAGUAUAACAGGAGCAGAGGGAAAAGAAAUACCAUCGGGCAGUUCACGCAGGGCUCAUUGCCAAGGAUUUAUGUCAGACUUGUGCUGUAAGAAGAUUACUCUGGCUACUGUAUGGAAAAUUAAGAUGGGGUGGCAUGUUGCAAGAGUGGAAGCAGGCAGGCCAGCUAGAAGACUACUGUAAUAAUCCAGCUAAGAUGAUAUUGGCUUGGAUCAAGGGUCCUGAUGCAGUUGGCAGAAGCAGUCAGCUCCUGGAUAUAUUUAGAAAGGAGAGCCGAUUGGAUGUGUGGAGGAGUGGGUUUGAGGAGGAAGAUCCAGAGUUCUGCUGAGGACAUUUUAAGUUGAAGAUGCUUAGUUUAUAUCCAUGCCCUGCCAUGCAGGCAGAUGUAAAUCAGGAGCUCAGGGACAAAGUUGAGACUAAGAAUGGGAGGUGUCGAUGCAGAGAAGGUACUUAAAGUUUUGGUUGAAUUCCAGGGUGUAUAAGUUGUUAGGGAAGUUAGCGUGCUUGUUCUUGAGUUGCUGGAAAGGCAUAUAAAUGACACAAAUACAUGGCCACAAUAUGUAUUUUCUCAAUAAUAUUUGGGGAAAUGUUCUGGGCAUCAGGUUUCCCGUCUAACUUUCCCUGUAGGAAACGGAUAGUCAUUGAAGUAAUUUUGAUUUGGGUGAGUUGUUACACGGAUAGCGAAGUUGUAAGUUCUCUUGCCACUUUUCUUGUUCUGCACCUUUCGAGAGUCAUUAUGAGAACUGAACACUAGGGGGACCCAGUUUCCUUACUUAUGCAACGGCGGCUGGCCCAGCUGUACGCUACGAUCGCCCUCACUUAGGA